rnacentral:lncRNA from 1 species
GCUACUUGCUCCUUUGUGUGCUGAAAGGCAUAACGGGGAGCGGGCCUCGGGCGACCAAGCGUGGGGAGGGCAGGGGAGAGCCGCCAGCUGCUGCUCCGCGUCCCAGGACGCCUUCCAGCGGGGGCCACAGCCGUGCAGGGCCCCGAGGCGUGGAGCUCGGCGCGGAGCUCGGCGCUGCCCAUGGAAACGGCGGGGACGGGACCUGCCCCGACCCUAACGCGAGAGCUCGAAGCGGUACUCCUGGCCGGGGUAGGGUCCGUAGCCGCUGUGCUGCAGCGAGUGUCGGCGGCGGAGGGCCACAACCCAUCCGGCGCCUCCCGCCCGCCCCGCUCUCGGACGACCGCGGAGCGCUGGGGCUGCGUAGCCCUCCCCGCCCCCGGCUCGCUCCCAGAGCUGCUCCGCAGGGAAUCGCACGGAGCGUUUCCCCCAUCUGUACGAGCCACGGCCCCCCUUGCCUCCUGCAGAGCCGCUGCCAUUAUGCUCCGGCGUCUCCUAGCCAGGCCUCGCGGCGGGCGGCCGGACGGGGCGGCGUGGACCAUAGCCAUGCCCGCCUGAGCCCGGCCGGGCCUGGGCCGCAGCAGUUACAGGUGCAGAGGGGCUCGGCAGUGCCACCGAGUUGGCAGCUCCUGGGAGGAGAGAGAGAGAGAGCCUCACGAAGAGCCAUCCCACAAGACAGCAGCGAGAUGGGGAUUGGCACAUAGUGAAGGUAGUUAAGGGUUGUGGAGUGCAAGGGUGAGUAGCCAAAGCUGAGCGGAGCAAGCACUGCUGUGUGGGGUAGCUGUUGGCCCUCCAGGAGGCAGGGAUGUGAGCAGCACAGCAGCACUGCUCUGGGCGUGGCAGGCUCACCAUGGGAGCUGUGGCCUUGGCUCUGAGGGCUGCAUGCAGCACUGGGACAGGACCAGCAGCCAUUUUGGUGGGGUGGGCCCCGGCCUCCUGUGGCCAUGGGGCCAUUGGGCGUGGGGUGCUGCACACUGCUUAGUGCCUCAAGUAAGGCUGAAUAGCAAAAAGAAAAAAAAAACAUCUCAGCAGCCAGCUCAAAGCUGUUAGGAGAGGGUCAAGGAACUGCUUUGCAGGCAUCUCGCUGCUGUGGAAAUGGAUUUUGUGAGGGGAGGGUGGUUCAUGCGUGGGUAAUCGCUGUAGUUAAUGCUGUGUGGAGAAGGAAAUAUGCCACUGAGCGGCCCCAGAUGUGGGAGCAGAAGGGAGGGCAGGCAGGAGCUGACCCUACAUGGCUGCCCCACAGGCAUGAGGGCAGAGGUGAUGCUGCUCCCCAUGGGCCAGGGGAGCAGAGCAGCAGCCCUGGGUAGCAGCUGUCUCCCUGUGCUGUGGCCAAGUCUGCCUGGUGCUGUAAGAGAGAUCCUGUGAGGAUUUUUAUUGCUGUCUCUUAGCUACAGCCAGGCAUGCAAACAGCUUUCAGCCAGGUUGUGGGAGGUAAGUGGGGGAGGAGAAGAGGGGAGUGGGGGGGCACAAAGCAAGGGGUGGCGGGACGGGGUCGGGGCUCAGUCGGCCCGCAGAGGCAAGCAGAGCUCCAUGCUUCCUGGGGAUGCGUUGGCAGCUCUGCAAGGGUUGCCAUAGUUUUUACGUAGGGUGACCAGAACCGGCUGGAACUGGUUUGAGGCAGAUCAGCUCUUGAACACAAUGCAGUCACUGAGCUGCUACAGUGGGAUAGCUUCCACCCUCCAUGGCAGCCAAAAGCAGAGGAGCUUGCAGAAAGAUACCAUCCCUAAACAAUAUGUGAAUGCACACUUAGACACACAGCACUGGCCUAUUGAUUGGGACUGCCUUUAACCCUUUCAUAUUUGCAGAGAUAGUCUGUCUGUGG